rnacentral:rRNA from 1 species
UUGACGGGGGCCCGCACAAGCGGUGGAGUAUGUGGUUUAAUUCGAUGCAACGCGAAGAACCUUACCAGGCCUUGACAUGCAGAGAACUUUCCAGAGAUGGAUUGGUGCCUUCGGGAACUCUGACACAGGUGCUGCAUGGCUGUCGUCAGCUCGUGUCGUGAGAUGUUGGGUUAAGUCCCGUAACGAGCGCAACCCUUGUCCUUAGUUACCAGCACGUUAUGGUGGGCACUCUAAGGAGACUGCCGGUGACAAACCGGAGGAAGGUGGGGAUGACGUCAAGUCCUCAUGGCCCUUACGGGCUGGGCUACACACGUGCUACAAUGGUGGUGACAGUGGGCAGCGAGCACGCGAGUGUGAGCUAAUCUCCAAAAGCCAUCUCAGUUCGGAUUGCACUCUGCAACUCGAGUGCAUGAAGUUGGAAUCGCUAGUAAUCGCGGAUCAGCAUGUCGCGGUGAAUACGUUCCCGGGCCUU